CCUACGGGAGGCAGCAGUAAGGAAUAUUGGACAAUGGACGCAAGUCUGAUCCAGCCAUGCCGCGUGAAGGAUUAAGGCCCUCUGGGUUGUAAACUUCUUUUAUAGGGGACGAAAAAAGGGCUUUCUAGCUCGACUGACGGUACCCUAUGAAUAAGCACCGGCUAACUCCGUGCCAGCAGCCGCGGUAAUACGGAGGGUGCAAGCGUUAUCCGGAUUCACUGGGUUUAAAGGGUGCGUAGGCGGGCAGUUAAGUCAGUGGUGAAAUCUCUGGGCUCAACCCGGAAACUGCCAUUGAUACUAUCUGUCUUGAAUAUUGUGGAGGUGAGCGGAAUAUGUCAUGUAGCGGUGAAAUGCUUAGAUAUGACAUAGAACACCGAUUGCGUAGGCAGCUCGCUACACAUAUAUUGACGCUGAGGCACGAAAGCGUGGGGAUCAAACAGGAUUAGAUACCCUGGUAGUCCACGCCCUAAACUAUGAUUACUCGACAUAUGCGAUACACUGUAUGUGUCUGAGCGAAAGCAUUAAGUAAUCCACCUGGGAAGUACGACCGCAAAGGUUGAAACUUACGAAAGUAGUAGACGUGAGAGAGCGACGAGGCACACGGAGGGUAGAGG
rnacentral:rRNA from 1 species